GCCGUUCUCGAGUUCUUUUCUUAUUUGUGUGCCAGUUGUGGUGCUCUCUUGGGGUUUCUGUACGCAUUGGUCAUCUGGAAGGGAAAGAAAAAUCUGUGCAACUGGGGUCUCUCUCUCAUUCCACUUUGUGUAAUUCCACUUUUCUAAAAAAAAAAAAAAUCCAAAAUUGGCUCUCCAGGACUGGAACUGGAAGUAUGAGGAUGAUCUAAUUUUUCUGGCUUUUCAAGAGCAGCGGCAUGAGUUGAAGAUUACGGUGUUCGAUUGAUUUCAAAGGGCCAUAUCUCAUAUAAACAACAAGUGAAAGGUUUACAGGACAUUAACCAAUUACUUGGGCUAUUAGUUCCUUUACUUUGUGAUGUCCCUGGUGUGAGUAAAAAAAUGUUCAGAUUUUGUCUCUGUAAUCAGAUAGUUGAUAUCACUGAUUGAUUUCAUUGUUCUUCACUUUCAAGAAGCAUCGGUGUUUAUUGAAGGUUCCUACAGCCAAAUUGGAAUCAAUCUGAAAGAACUGUGUCUAUUCGCCGUCUUCAAGUUUGAGUUGAGUACCUCUAGAAAAUAUCUAUGCAUGGACCACUACUGUAACCCGUUCUUAACCGAUGAACUUCAAACUAUGGUGCGUAUCGCGUCAUUUUGCCUUCCUCCCUAUUUAUUCAGCUAUUACAUAUCCAAUUGUAUUGAUUCCUACAGAACAAUGUUUACUUUUCUCGGCAACCUCUUUACAAUGUUU